rnacentral:rRNA from 1 species
GAUGAACGCUGGCGGCGUGCCUAACACAUGCAAGUCGAACGAACACACGGGGAGCUUGCUCCCCUGACGGUGGCGGCGGACGGGUGAGUAACACGUGGAUCGCCUACCUCUAAGACUGGGAUGACAACGGGAGACCAGAUCUACUACCGGAGAAUAUAUCGAACCGCAUGGUGCAAGAGUUAAUGACGGUUUUGGUGACACUAAUAGCCGGUGCCGCGCUGCAUGAGCUGGUUGGUAAGGUACCGGCUUACCAAGGCAACGAUGCGUAUCCGACCUGAGAGGGGGGUCGGCCACACUGUAACAGAGGCACGGUCGCGACACCGACGGGAGGCAGCAGCAGGGAAUCUUACGCGAGGGGGGAAAGCCUGACGGAGGAACGCCGCGUGAGGGAUGAAGGUCUUCGGAUCGUAAAACUCUGUUAUUAGGAGAGAACAAAUGUGUAAGUAACCAUGCACAUCUUGACGGUACCUAAUGAGAAAGCCACGGCUAACUACGUG